rnacentral:lncRNA from 1 species
GGGCAUUGGUGUCCUCACUCUCCUCCCAUCCAAGUUAAUAUAUCCUUCAGCAGAAACACUGCUUGUUUACUUGCAUGUUUGACUCGUACAUCCUAGAGAACCAACAGUAUCGUUUUAGUAAUGGUGCUCUGGGUUUUAACCUUUACUAAUUAAAGUAAGGAAGAAUAUUAAAGCACGUCUUUGUAUAAUUGGAUAUCAAAUUUUCUUUACAGGUACAACUUAAUAGUUGAUACCAGAAAUUAUAGAUAUUUAUAUCACUAAAAGAGACUCAAUUAGUCAAUUUACAUUUUUCUAUCACUAGCUUCUAAUAAAUGAUUAAUUCAUAUGAUAGUACGACAGCUAAAUUUUGGCUUGUGUCACAAGAUCGAAUAUAUACAUAAUUGUACAAAAGAUAAGUUUCAAUCAAUUAGAAUAUACACCCAAGAUGUAUCAUCAACUCCUUGGUGACCUCUAAUUGAGAUGCGAGUCAUGUGACCAUGAACGACAAUGUAUGAUUUUAUUUACAAUAAGUGGGCCAAACAUUGUUAGUGAAGUUUUAAUGCCUCCUUGUUUGUGGUUACUGGUGUAAACAAGAUUUGUAACCACUAAGAGUCUAAGACUUUAUUUCUAUUUUUCCUAUAAGUGAUUUCAAUUAUGCCAUGAUAGCAAUGUACGGGUACUCCUACAGUAUGAGCUAGAGCCUAGAAGUCUUUGACUUUCAUUGGUAAAUGUUGACUGUAACAAUUGAGAAAGAAGCAAUCAUCUAGGGACACUUAUAAGUAACAAAGGCACUUGCUUGCUAAAUGCAACUACACGAUUGUUGCAUAAGAUCCAACAUGAAACUAACCCACACUUUGUCACUUUUGCAUACAGCUAAAACUGACAUGCACAGUUACUAAGGUUUAACACUAUUUCUGGCAUAAAUUUAACUGUCCUUGGUGAUUUACUCAGACCCAUUUGUUUGUUAACUUUAAAUUGUUAGUACCACAUCCAAUUUACACACGUGAAAAAGAAAAAUCUUUGUCAUGCCUUAUGCAGUCCACAUUUUCUUGCUCUAUGUAUUUUAUUCAAGGCUUGAUAAUCCAUUAAGAAAAAAAUAUAUCUUUUCCAUGAAAUUGUGAAACAAAUCUUAUCUUCAACAAUUAACUAAAAAAAUUAUUAUGUACUGAAAACUAUAAAUAAAUAUUUAAGGAACUAACACGGAUGUAAUGAUACAGGUGCUCAACUAUAUAUGCAUUGUCAUGUUGCUUGGAAUUGUGAAACUCUAUUUUGGAAUGUUUGAAAAGGAAUGGUUGUGCUCUACUUAGGUAGAAGUUAUGUUGUUUACUCCCUUUUGAGAGUUAAGAAGUAAGAAGGAUGCAAGAAAAGUAUAUGGAAAUGCGCUUUCUUCUCAGAUUUAUGAGGAAUUUGGAUGAGUGUAAUGCUAAAUGGGAUCUAUUUCUCAUUUAAUCUUCCAAGGGAUAGGGUUAGGAUACCUCUGUGACUAAUCUUUUGGAGAGCUGCAUUUUUUCAAGUGCUCAUUUUGUCUCUUUUUUUUUACUGAUUCUUCUGAUUUCCUAUUUUAUUGAAUCCUACAUUUGCUAAUUAAAUAAUUUCCCUUUUUUUUCAUUAAAGAACCAUACAUGAAUUCAAUAAAGAGAGCUCAAGUCUAGUCAAUAUACCACCAUUUCACAAACAAACACAUAAAUUUCAACAUCUCAACCACACAAAAAAUUAAUACAAAAUUACAUGAACUUUAAAAAUUAUACAUAUUUUUUGAAACAGAAGAUUGAAACAUUAAAAUAUUAUUUAACAUACCCAGUUCUUAAAGGAUUGAAUGCAACAUUUCCCUCUCCCCUUUCUGCAUUGCGAUCCUCGGAUGCAGAUUAAAAAAAAGGUAACGACUAUCUAUAACAUGUUGAAAAAAAUAUUGAAAUGGAUUCUGUUUUAUGUGUGAAAAAUUAGGUUAGGCUCGCGAUUCAAGGAGAAAAGAAGCCAAGCCAGCACAGAGAUGAAAUAGAGGAACUAGAUUUCACAUUCACACUUCUAAGCUGUCUGAAAAUUGAAAUGGACAAUUUGGGCCGGAUCUGUUUUCCCAACUAUUAGUGGCCCAGUUUUAUAGUUCUGCGUGGGUAACUAAUUUCAAUUUAUUUUUUAAAAUAAAUUCUAAGCUGUUUUAUAAGCUGCAAUAAAUAAA